UUUUGUUAAAUUCAUCCACUUGUACUGUUAAAAACUGGUGUGACUAUCAGGAUAAUUAGACAAUGACACAUGGCGUGGCACACAUGCCUUAUGCUAAUAUACAAUGACCAAAUUUUAACAAUAGAAAUAGAUAAAAUUUUAAAA
rfam:Gossypium raimondii Chr04_contig_31, whole genome shotgun sequence.